GCCAGUGUGGCUCAAGUGGUACAGCACCUGCUUCGAACACAGGCAAGCCGGCAUUUAUGUCGACGUACAGGUUCGAGUCCUGUCACUGGCG
rnacentral:tRNA from 1 species